rnacentral:rRNA from 1 species
GACGAACGCUGGCGGCGUGCUUAACACAUGCAAGUCGAACGGAAAGGCCCUGCUUUUGUGGGGUGCUCGAGUGGCGAACGGGUGAGUAACACGUGAGUAACCUGCCCUUGACUUUGGGAUAACUUCAGGAAACUGGGGCUAAUACCGGAUAGGAGCUCCUGCUGCAUGGUGGGGGUUGGAAAGUUUCGGCGGUUGGGGAUGGACUCGCGGCUUAUCAGCUUGUUGGUGGGGUAGUGGCUUACCAAGGCUUUGACGGGUAGCCGGCCUGAGAGGGUGACCGGCCACAUUGGGACUGGGAUACGGCCCAGACUCCUACGGGAGGCAGCAGGUGGGAAUAUUGCACAAUGGGCGGAAGCCUGAUGCAGCAAAGCCGCGUGCGGGAUGACGGCCUUCGGGUUGUAAACCGCUUUCGCCUGUGACGAAGCGUGAGUGACGGUAAUGGGUAAAGAAGCACCGGCUAACUACGUG